UGGGGAAUAUUGGACAAUGGAGGCAACUCUGAUCCAGCAAUUCUGUGCGUGUGAAGAAGGUUUUAGGACUGUAAAACACUUUUAGUAGGGAAGAAAGAAAUGACGGUACCUACAGAAGAAGCGACGGCUAAAUACGUGCCAGCAGCCGCGGUAAUACGUAUGUCGCGAGCGUUAUCCGGAAUUAUUGGGCUUAAAGGGCAUCUAGGCGGUUAAACAAGUUGAAGGUGAAAACCUGUGGCUCAACCAUAGGCUUGCCUACAAAACUGUAUAACUAGAGUACUGGAAAGGUGGGUGGAACUACACGAGUAGAGGUGAAAUUCGUAGAUAUGUGUAGGAAUGCCGAUGAUGAAGAUAACUCACUGGACAGCAACUGACGCUGAAGUGCGAAAGCUAGGGGAGCAAACAGG
rnacentral:rRNA from 1 species